CAAGUCGAACGGCAGCACGGGAGCUUGCUCCUGUUGGCGAGUGGCGAACGGGUGAGUAAAGCAUCGGAACGUACCUUGUCGAGGGGGAUAACGCAGCGAAAGUUGUGCUAAUACCGCAUACGUCCUGAGGGAGAAAGCGGGGGACCGCAAGGCCUCGCGCGAUGAGAGCGGCCGAUGUCAGAUUAGCUAGUUGGUGAGGUAAAGGCUCACCAAGGCGACGAUCUGUAGCGGGUCUGAGAGGAUGAUCCGCCACACUGGGACUGAGACACGGCCCAGACUCCUACGGGAGGCAGCAGUGGGGAAUUUUGGACAAUGGGCGCAAGCCUGAUCCAGCCAUGCCGCGUGAGUGAAGAAGGCCUUCGGGUUGUAAAGCUCUUUCAGACGGAAAGAAGUCGGGCGCGUGAAUAGCGUGCCUGGAUGACGGUACUGUCAGAAGAAGCACCGGCUAACUACGUGCCAGCAGCCGCGGUAAUA
rnacentral:rRNA from 1 species